ensembl:lncRNA
CCACUAACAUCUGAGGACCCACUAAUAGCAGCUAGUCACUGCUAUGAGGUACACAUCAUGUGGUGUUCAAGGCUUUGCAGGUAAAAGUCAGCUAUAAAACAACAACGCAAGCAGAACUUCUCCAUCUUUUCAGACUGCAGGUUACGCCACAUGCUUUGUCAGCUUUGGAAUCAAGCCACUGACCGAGCUUCCAGGUGGCUUCUCCCCAUCGUGUGCUCAUCUCUCACCAUCACCUGAGGUCACCAUGGCAGAGCUACAAAGUGAUUGUCCAUAAUCUGGAGACGCCAUGAUGUUGACCACCUGCUAUAGAAGUACCCAGGUUUGAGCCUCGGA